rnacentral:rRNA from 1 species
UACAGAGGUCUCGAGCGUUGUUCGGAUUCAUUGGGCGUAAAGGGCGCGUAGGUGGCGGGACAAGCGUGCGGUGAAAGCCUGGGGCUCAACUCCGGGUCGGCCGUGCGAACUGUUUUGCUUGAGCACUGUAGAGGCAGGCGGAAUUCCGGGUGUAGCGGUGGAAUGCGUAGAGAUCAUGAGGAAGACCAGUGGCGAAGGCGGGUCUCUGGACAGUUCCUGACACUGAGACACGAAGGCCAGGGGAGCAAACGGG